CCUACGGGAGGCAGCAGUAGGGAAUAUUGCUCAAUGGGGGAAACCCUGAAGCAGCAACGCCGCGUGGAGGAUGACGGUCCUAUGGAUUGUAAACCUCUUUUGUCGGGGAGCAAGGCCCGCCACGUGUGGCGGGAAGGAGAGUACCCGAAGAAAAAGCAUCGGCUAACUCCGUGCCAGCAGCCGCGGUAAUACGGAGGAUGCGAGCGUUAUCCGGAUUUAUUGGGUUUAAAGGGUGCGUAGGCGGAAGGUUAAGUCAGCGGUCAAAUGUCGGUGCUCAACACCGGCCUGCCGUUGAAACUGGUCUUCUUGAGUGAGCGAGAAGUAUGCGGAAUGCGUGGUGUAGCGGUGAAAUGCAUAGAUAUCACGCAGAACUCCGAUUGCGAAGGCAGCAUACCGGCGCUCAACUGACGCUGAGGCACGAAAGCGUGGGGAUCGAACAGGAUUAGAUACCCUUGUAGUC
rnacentral:rRNA from 1 species